GACGAACGCUGGCGGCGUGCCUAACACAUGCAAGUCGAACGAAGUAUGUUUUUCGGAAUGUACUUAGUGGCGGACGGGUGAGUAACGCGUGAACAAUCUACCCUGUACAAAGGAAUAGCCUCGGGAAACUGGGAUUAAAACCAUAUAACACUUUUGAAUCGCAUGAUUUAGAAGUCAAAUUGAUUAAGAGGUAUAGGAUGAGUUCGCGUCUGAUUAGCUAGUUGGUGAGGUAAUGGCUCACCAAGGCGACGAUCAGUAGCCGGCCUGAGAGGGUGAACGGCCACACUGGAACUGAGACACGGUCCAGACUCCUACGGGAGGCUG
rnacentral:rRNA from 1 species